AGAGAGAGUCGGUAUAAUCCGGCCGCCGAAGAGGCAAAUCCGAGAUGUGAGGUGUCGCGUGGACGGAUGAAACUUUCAGGCAAAAGGACUGAGAAA
rnacentral:ncRNA from 1 species